AUUGAACGCUGGCGGCAUGCCUUACACAUGCAAGUCGAACGGCAGCGGGGGAGAAGCUUGCUUUUCCUGCCGGCGAGUGGCGAACGGGUGAGUAAUACAUCGGAACGUGCCCUGUAGUGGGGGAUAACUAGUCGAAAGAUUAGCUAAUACCGCAUACGACCUGAGGGUGAAAGUGGGGGACCGCAAAGCCUCAUGCUUUAGGAGCGGCCGAUGUCUGAUUCGCUAGGUGGUGGGGGAAAGGCCUACCAAGGCGACGAUCAGCAGCGGGUCUGAGAGGACGAUCAGCUACAUUGGGACUGAGACACGGCCCAGACUCCUACGGGAGGCAGCAGUGGGGAAUUUUGGACAAUGGGCGAAAGCCUGAUCCAGCAAUGCCGCGUGUGUGAAGAAGGCCUUCGGGUUGUAAAGCACUUUUGUCCGGAAAGAAAUGGCUCUGGUUAAUACCUGGGGUCGAUGACGGUACCGGAAGAAUAAGGACCGGCUAACUACGUGCCAGCCGCCGCAGUAA
rnacentral:rRNA from 1 species